GACGAACGCUGGCGGCGUGCCUAAUACAUGCAAGUAGAACGCUGAAGGAGGAGCUUGCUCUUCUGGAUGAGUUGCGAACGGGUGAGUAACGCGUAGGUAACCUGCCUGGUAGCGGGGGAUAACUAUUGGAAACGAUAGCUAAUACCGCAUAAGAGUAGAUGUUGCAUGACAUUUACUUAAAAGGUGCAAUUGCAUCACUACCAGAUGGACCUGCGUUGUAUUAGCUAGUUGGUGGGGUAACGGCUUACCAAGGCGACGAUACAUAGCCGACCUGAGAGGGUGAUCGGCCACACUGGGACUGAGACACGGCCCAGACUCCUACGGGAGGCAGCAGUAGGGAUUCUUCGGCAAUGGACGGAAGUCUGACCGAGCAACGCCGCGUGAGUGAAGAAGGUUUUCGGAUCGUAAAGCUCUGUUGUAAGAGAAGAACGAGUGUGAGAGUGGAAAGUUCACACUGUGACGGUAUCUUACCAGAAAGGGACGGCUAACUACGUG
rnacentral:rRNA from 1 species